GAGAAUAUUAACAGUGGAGUAAAUGAGGCCGUGGAGAUGCAUGUACUUACCAACGAGGAGAACGUGCAACAGGCUGGCAAUGUACCUCCUGUGAAUGACACCACUGAGCAGAUGAUGAACGAGGGGAUGUUUAGAAGCUUUUUGCAGUUCAUGCAAAAUCAGACGAGGGAGACUCGUGUUCAAAAUAAAGGAGGAAAUGAUAGAAAUUCACGGGUGGUCACAGCCAAGCAUUUCAAAGAGUUGGGACCACCAGAAUUCUGGGGAAAGCCGGAUCCGAUUAAGGCAGAGACGUGGGUCAAAC
rnacentral:lncRNA from 1 species